UACAGAGGGUGCGAGCGUUGUCCGGAAUCACUGGGCGUAAAGCGUGCGCAGGCGGUUUGUUAAGUCUGCUGUGGAAUCCCCGAGCUCAACUUGGGAAUUGCAGUGGAUACUGGCAGGCUGGAGUAUGGUAGAGGAAGGUGGAAUUCCCGGUGUAGCAGUGAAAUGCGUAGAGAUCGGGAGGAACACCAGUGGCGAAGGCGGCCUUCUGGACCAGCACUGACACUCAAGCACGAAAGCGUGGGGAGCAAACAGG
rnacentral:rRNA from 1 species